CCGAAUCAGAGAUCUCAGUAGCCCUGCUCUUCUUGUCUGAAGUAAAACAGGGAGAGAGAGAAGAUUUGUGCUUAAGACUAGAAAAUUGAAUAAGGUGGCAAGUAACAAAGACACCGCUGGAGGCUGGACCCCUCACCAGUGAAGUUCUCAGAGAAGUAUCAAAGGGAUAGAUGGCGGUGGGGGUGAGGCCUGGCCCCAGGACUGGCACUGGAUGAUAAAUCCCAUCACUUCAAGCUGGUGAUGACUUUUCCUGCAUCACCUAACGCAGGGUGGAGCACAAAGAACUUGGCAGCCUCAGUUUUCCAGUGGGAACAUUGAACCCACCCAAUGUGCUUCCUACAAGGCGGAUUUGGAGAAUCAAACCCAAAUUUGGGGCCCCUCUCACCUCUUCCCCCUUCCUGGCUCACCCCUGUCCUUCCUCAUCCUCUUCCCUCCUUCCUGUCCUGCCCCCUCUCUGCCCCUCCCCUGUACCUCUCUCCCUCACCACCCUG